CCUAUCAGGUAGUUGGUGAGGUAACGGCUCACCAAGCCGACGACGGGUAGGGGGCGUGAGAGCGUGGCCCCCCACACGGGAACUGAGACACGGUCCCGACGCCUACGGGCGGCAGCAGUGAGGAAUCUUGCCCAAUGGGGGAAACCCUGAGGCAGCGACACCGCGUGCGGGAUGAAGGCCUUCGGGUCGUAAACCGCUUUUCUGGGGGACGAGUAAGGACGGUACUCCAGGAAUAAGUCCCGGCUAACUACGUGCCAGCAGCCGCGGUAAAACGUAGGGGGCGAGCGUUAUCCGGAAUCACUGGGCGUAAAGGGCGUCUAGGCGGCAGCCUAAGUCCCGUGUGAAAGCUCCCGGCUCAACUGGGAGAGGGCAUGGGAGACUGGGCAGCUAGAGACUCGGAGGGGGGUGUGGAAUUCCCGGUGGAGUGGUGGAAUGCGUUGAGAUCGGGAGGAACACCAGUAGCGAAGGCGGCACCCUGGCCGAGAUCUGACGCUGAAGCGCGAGAGCGUGGGGAGCGAACGGGAUUAGAUACCCCGGUAGUCCACGCCGUAAACGAUGACAACUAGGUGUUGGGUGUCCAAGGAUGCUCAGUACCGCAGCAAACGCGAUAA
rnacentral:rRNA from 1 species